rnacentral:rRNA from 1 species
AGAAUCAACGCUGGCGGCGUGCCUAACACAUGCAAGUCGCACGAGAAAGGGGCUUCGGCCCUGAGUAAAGUGGCGCACGGGUGAGUAACACGUGAAUUAUCUACCUCCGAGUGGGGAAUAACCUAGAGAAAUCUGGGCUAAUACCGCAUAACACUUACGAGUCAAAGCAGCAAUGCGCUUGGAGAGGAGUUCGCGGCAGAUUAGUUAGUUGGCGGGGUAAUGGCCCACCAAGACGAUGAUCUGUA